GAUGAACGCUGGCGGCGUGCCUAAUACAUGCAAGUCGAGCGAACAGACGAGGAGCUUGCUCCUCUGACGUUAGCGGCGGACGGGUGAGUAACACGUGGAUAACCUACCUAUAAGACUGGGAUAACUUCGGGAAACCGGAGCUAAUACCGGAUAAUAUAUUGAACCGCAUGGUUCAAUAGUGAAAGACGGUUUUACUGUCACUUAUAGAUGGAUCCGCGCCGCAUUAGCUAGUUGGUAAGGUAACGGCUUACCAAGGCAACGAUGCGUAGCCGACCUGAGAGGGUGAUCGGCCACACUGGAACUGAGACACGGUCCAGACUCCUACGGGAGGCAGCAGUAGGGAAUCUUCCGCAAUGGGCGAAAGCCUGACGGAGCAACGCCGCGUGAGUGAUGAAGGUCUUCGGAUCGUAAAACUCUGUUAUUAGGGAAGAACAAAUGUGUAAGUAACUAUGCACGUCUUGACGGUACCUAAUCAGAAAGCCACGGCUAACUACG
rnacentral:rRNA from 1 species